GACGACGCUGGCGGCGUGCCUAACACAUGCAAGUCGAACGGAGAUCCUUGGAUUGAGACUUCGGUCAAAUGAAUUGGAUCUUAGUGGCGAACGGGUGAGUAACGCGUGAGCAACCUGCCUUUCAGAGGGGGACAACAGUUGGAAACGACUGCUAAUACCGCAUAACGUAUCGAGGGGCAUCCCCAUGAUACCAAAGAUUUAUCGCUGAAGGAUGGGCCUGCGUCUGAUUAGCUAGUUGGUGGGGUAACGGCCCACCAAGGCGACGAUCAGUAGCCGGUCUGAGAGGAUGAACGGCCACAUUGGGACUGAGAUACGGCCCAGACUCCUACGGGAGGCAGCAGUGGGGAAUAUUGGGCAAUGGGGGAAACCCUGACCCAGCAACGCCGCGUGAAGGAAGAAGGCCCUCGGGUUGUAAACUUCUUUUACCAGGGACGAAGAAAGUGACGGUACCUGGAGAAAAAGCAACGGCUAACUACGUG
rnacentral:rRNA from 1 species